rnacentral:rRNA from 1 species
CCUACGGGUGGCAGCAGUGAGGAAUAUUGGUCAAUGGCCGAGAGGCUGAACCAGCCAAGUCGCGUGAGGGAAGAAUGUCCUAAGGAUUGUAAACCUCUUUUGUCGGGGAGCAAAAAGGCUCGGCGGAGUAGUAUUUAGAGUACCCGAAGAAAAAGCAUCGGCUAACUCCGUGCCAGCAGCCGCGGUACUACGGAGGAUGAGAGCGUUAUCCGGAUUUAUUGGGUUAAAAGGGUGCGCAGGCGGCUUGUCAAGCAAGCGGGAAAAUAGCGGGGGUCAACCCCGUCGAGCCGUUUGAACUGGCGCGAUUGAGUUCAGGCGAGGUAGGCGGAAUUCGUGGUGUAGCGGUGAAAU